CCAAAAAUUUAAAAGAUUAGAUUAUAUUUAAGCAUUUCAUAACCCAACAGUGUUCUCACUGCCGUUAGAAAGAUCAAAAAACAGCUGUUAUUGUCAUUCAAGAAUUCACAUCGCUUAAUAUUUAUCAAAAGAAAAGAUUGUCAUAUGGUAUUUUGAAAUAAAAAGACGGCUUUUUUUUAAUAUUUUCCAUAUAAUAGAAAUAAUGGAUGCAUUUUUUCAUUUGUUAAGUCGAUUUUCAGAUGAAAUUAGAUUCAUUGCUUAAAAAAAAAUUUGUUUGUUUACAUUUUUUUCCCUUUGUAGUGUCUAAAUCAGCUGUGAUAAUGUAACAGAUUUCCAGUGCUGACAAGUAGAUUGCGUAAAAUCAGAGUCGCACAGAGAGAUUUAGCGUGGAUCAGUUUCAAAUCAUUUCAAUGAAGUGAUUUGGAAUUGUCAUUUUUGUAUGGCGAAAUCUUGAUAAAUUUUUAAGAUUAGUGGGAUAAUCCAUUCAACAGCCGAAAUCGUGUGAUUAAGUGUCGGUCUGAACAUGGUAUGAGGGAAUAACCUCAUAACUUAAUAGUUUAUACAGAUACUUGGAAAUAUUGUUAACAAAGUGAUUUUGUUUUGUAUUUUUUAAGUUGAUUUUUACAAUAGCAAAGAAUAUGGUAUCAUAUUACAAUUUUACUGAUUUCCGGUUGUGCUAUUUAUUUCAUUAAGAAAUCCAGCAUAUUUAUCAGUUUUACUGUUUGUUGCUGGCUUAUUUAUACAUAUAUGUAACUCGCGUGAUGCCGUGACAACUGAAAACGGGUUUCAUUUAUAUUGUAAAAACAUCUCUGAAUAAUAAAAUGUAACAGAUUAUGUGACUGUCACUUACAGAAUAGCAAAAUCGUCUCAAGUCUCAAAAAUUGUCUCUAACUUAAAAUUUCAAAUUAAGAGACUUGAGACUGUAUCACAGUACAGAAUCGCAUGAUAUUAUUAUCAUUUUUAUUUAAAUAAUCUUUUCUUUCAAAUGCUAUUAAUAUUUUUAAUUCGGUGUACAUGUUCGGGUUAUUUUUUUGUAUUGCUAGAUGCGAGUAAAAAAAGUUAUCUCAUUUAUUAAUUUACUUCAAUGAGUGCGAAUGAGAAAACAUAAUUGUCAAUAGUGCCAAAAGAAAAUCCCAAAAAGGGUAAUAAAAAACGAUUGAAAGACGCAUGUCAUUUGCGCUCGUACAACCAGAAGCAUUGGAAAUCAGAACAGAAUUGGAAAUAGCAGCAGCAGCAAUAUUAUCAGAAGCAGUAAAUAUAAAUUGUUAAGUAAUAGCGGGAUUCUGUAACAGUCUCUAGUCUCUAUUUUGAGGUAAAGUCUCAGUUUGUGUCUAGUUACUAUUCAUUAAAUAGUCUCUAGAGUUAGUCUCUAAAUAUUGCCUCAAAUUUGAGGCCUGAUAGUUAGCAGGUCAGAAAACUAAAAAGAACUCUUGUCUACCAUUUUGAAUAUACUGAAUAGAGAUCAUCACAGAUAUUAAUCGGUUGUCGUUUUUUUAUAUUUUGUAAGCAACUCAAACACGAAAAGGUUAAAAAUAAAUCAAUUUUACAUAAAUUUCCUAAAUACUAUGAAACAAAGUCAACAUAUAUUUUUAUUUUUAUUGAUACUUAUGUUUUUUGACUGU